rnacentral:rRNA from 1 species
UACGAAGGGGGCUAGCGUUGCUCGGAAUUACUGGGCGUAAAGGGAGCGUAGGCGGACAUUUAAGUCAGGGGUGAAAUCCUGGAGCUCAACUCCAGAACUGCCUUUGAUACUGGCAAUCUCGAGUCCGGAAGAGGUAAGUGGAACUCCUAGUGUAGAGGUGGAAUUCGUAGAUAUUCGGAAGAACACCAGUGGCGAAGGCGACAUACUGGCCCAUUACUGACGCUGAGGCUCGAAAGCGUGGGGAGCAAACAGG